UACGAAGGUCCCAAGCGUUAUCCGGAUUUAUUGGGUUUAAAGGGUGCGUAGGCGGGUUAUUAAGUCAGUGGUGAAAGCCUUCAGCUUAAUUGAAGAAUUGCCAUUGAUACUGAUGAUCUUGAGUAUGAUUGAGGUGGGCGGAAUGUGUCAUGUAGCGGUGAAAUGCUUAGAUAUGACACAGAACACCGAUUGCGAAGGCAGCUCACUAAGCCAUAACUGACGCUGAUGCACGAAAGCGUGGGGAGCAAACAGG
rnacentral:rRNA from 1 species